AGAGUUUGAUCCUGGCUCAGGAUGAACGCUGGCGGCGUGCUUAACACAUGCAAGUCGAACGAACCUUCGGGUUAGUGGCGGACGGGUGAGUAACGCGUGAGAAUCUGCCCUCAGGAGGGGGAUAACGGUUGGAAACGACCGCUAAUACCCCAUAUGCCGAUAGGUGAAAUGAAUUUCGCCUGAGGAUGAGCUCGCGUCUGAUUAGCUAGUUGGUGAGGUAAUGGCUCACCAAGGCUUCGAUCAGUAGCUGGUCUGAGAGGAUGAUCAGCCACACUGGGACUGAGACACGGCCCAGACUCCUACGGGAGGCAGCAGUGGGGAAUUUUCCGCAAUGGGCGAAAGCCUGACGGAGCAACGCCGCGUGAGGGACGAAGGCCUCUGGGCUGUAAACCUCUUUUCUCAAGGAAGAAGAUAUGACGGUACUUGAGGAAUAAGCCACGGCUAAUUCCGUGCCAGCAGCCGCGGUAAUACGGGAGUGGCAAGCGUUAUCCGGAAUUAUUGGGCGUAAAGCGUCCGCAGGCGGCUUAUCAAGUCUGCUGUUAAAACGUGGAGCUUAACUCCAUCAUGGCAGUGGAAACUGAUAGGCUUGAGUAUGGUAGGGGCAGAGGGAAUUCCCGGUGUAGCGGUGAAAUGCGUAGAUAUCGGGAAGAACACCAGUGGCGAAGGCGCUCUGCUGGGCCAUUACUGACGCUCAUGGACGAAAGCCAGGGGAGCGAAAGGGAUUAGAUACCCCUGUAGUCCUGGCCGUAAACGAUGAACACUAGGUGUCGGAGGAAUCGACCCCUUCGGUGUCGUAGCUAACGCGUUAAGUGUUCCGCCUGGGGAGUACGCACGCAAGUGUGAAACUCAAAGGAAUUGACGGGGGCCCGCACAAGCGGUGGAGUAUGUGGUUUAAUUCGAUGCAACGCGAAGAACCUUACCAGGGUUUGACAUCCUGCGAACCUCUUAGAAAUUUGAGGGUGCCUUCGGGAAUGCAGUGACAGGUGGUGCAUGGCUGUCGUCAGCUCGUGUCGUGAGAUGUUGGGUUAAGUCCCGCAACGAGCGCAACCCACGUUUUUAGUUGCCAGCAUUUAGUUGGGCACUCUAGAAAGACCGCCGGUGAUAAACCGGAGGAAGGUGUGGAUGACGUCAAGUCAUCAUGCCCCUUACACCCUGGGCUACACACGUACUACAAUGCUACGGACAAAGGGCAGCAAACUCGCGAGAGCUAGCAAAUCCCAUAAACCGUGGCUCAGUUCAGAUCGUAGGCUGCAACUCGCCUACGUGAAGUAGGAAUCGCUAGUAAUCGCAGGUCAGCAUACUGCGGUGAAUACGUUCCCGGGCCUUGUACACACCGCCCGUCACACCAUGGAAGUUGGCCAUGCCCGAAGUCGUUACUCCAACCCUUGUGGAGGAGGACGCCGAAGGUGGGGCUAAUGACUGGGGUGAAGUCGUAACAAGGUAGCCGUACCGGAAGGUGCGGCUG
rnacentral:rRNA from 1 species